rnacentral:tRNA from 1 species
GCAUUGGUGGUUCAGUGGUAGAAUUCUCGCCUGCCACGCGGGGCCCGGUUCGAUUCCCGGCCAAUGCA